rnacentral:tmRNA from 1 species
GGGGGUGAACCGGAUUCGACCGGGCUAGUGAACUAUAAGUUGCGUGUCGUUGUUGGUCAGUGGGCAACGUUAAAAGCCGACCGCUAAUUCAAAUGCCGAACCUAAAUUGGCAUUGGCUGCUUAAGAACAAGCAACCCCGAGCCUGCGCUGCCGCCGAAGCGGUGUAAAGUUCGGACGUAAUUUCGGACCGCUUUCGCUCAAGCCGGAUACGGCGGAAGUUAAAUUUGUUUUCGGACCGUCCCUAAAAGACCGUCGCCGAUAAGGGCUGGCGGGGACUAAAAAAUAAAGAAUCGGAUACACACGUAGACACUUAUUCGGAUCUGUUUCGGGACGCGGGUUCAAUUCCCGCCGCCUCCAUUG